UCGGGAAUUUUGGGCAAUGGGCGAAAGCCUGACCCAGCAACGCCGCGUGAAGGAUGAAGUAUUUCGGUAUGUAAACUUCGAAAGAAUAGGAAGAAUAAAUGACGGUACUAUUUAUAAGGUCCGGCUAACUACGUGCCAGCAGCCGCGGUAAUACGUAGGGACCAAGCGUUGUUCGGAUUUACUGGGCGUAAAGGGCGCGUAGGCGGCAUGACAAGUCACUUGUGAAAUCUCUGGGCUUAACCCAGAACGGCCAAGUGAUACUGUCGCGCUAGAGUGCAGAAGGGGCAAUCGGAAUUCUUGGUGUAGCGGUGAAAUGCGUAGAUAUCAAGAGGAACACCUGAGGUGAAGACGGGUUGCUGGGCUGACACUGACGCUGAGGCGCGAAAGCCAGGGGAGCAAACGGGAUUAGAUACCCUCGUAGUCCCUGAGCGGGCUGGCAAGGCGCAU
rnacentral:rRNA from 1 species